AGAGUUUGAUUAUGGCUCAGGAUUAACGCUAGCGGAAGGCAUAAUACAUGCAAGUCGAACGGGAUAGAACUUAGCAAUAGGUUCUUGAGAGUGGCGCACGGGUGCGUAACACGUAUGCAACCUACCUUUAACUGGGGGAUAGCCUCUCGAAAGAGAGAUUAAUAUCCCAUAGUAUUACUGGAAGGCAUCUUUUGGUAAUUAAAGCUCCGGCGGUUUGAGAUAGGCAUGCGCGUCAUUAGCUAGUUGGCGGUGUAAUGGACCACCAAGGCUACGAUGACUAGGGGGUCUGAGAGGAUUUUCCCCCACACUGGUACUGAGACACGGACCAGACUCCUACGGGAGGCAGCAGUAGGGAAUAUUGGGCAAUGGUCGCAAGACUGACCCAGCCAUGCCGCGUGCAGGAUGACGGCCCUAUGGGUUGUAAACUGCUUUUAUCAGGGAAGAAACCCUUUUUUGCGAAAGAGGCUGACGGUACCUGAGGAAUAAGGAUCGGCUAACUCCGUGCCAGCAGCCGCGGUAAUACGGAGGAUCCAAGCGUUGUCCGGAUUUAUUGGGUUUAAAGGGUGCGUAGGCGGACUGAUAAGUCAGUGGUGAAAGCCGGUAGCUCAACUAUCGAAUAGCCUUUGAAACUGCCAGUCUUGAAUAUUGUUGAGGUAGGCGGAAUGUAUCAUGUAGCGGUGAAAUGCAUAGAUAUGAUACAGAACACCGAUUGCGAAGGCAGCUUACUAAGCAAUUAUUGACGCUGAGGCACGAAAGCGUGGGGAUCAAACAGGAUUAGAUACCCUGGUAGUCCACGCCGUAAACGUUGAAUACUUGCUGUUGGCGAUAUACAGUCAGCGGCUCAGCGAAAGCGUUAAGUAUUCCACCUGGGGAGUACGUUCGCAAGGAUGAAACUCAAAGGAAUUGACGGGGGCCCGCACAAGCGGAGGAGCAUGUGGUUUAAUUCGAUGAUACGCGAGGAACCUUACCUGGGCUUGAAUGUGAGUGUCGUUCCGGGAAACCGGAAUUCUCUUCGGAGCACAAAACAAGGUGCUGCAUGGCUGUCGUCAGCUCGUGCCGUGAGGUGUUGGGUUAAGUCCCGCAACGAGCGCAACCCCUAUCUUUAGUUGCUAGCAGGUAAUGCUGAGGACUCUAGAGAGACUGCCUAUGUAAAUAGUGAGGAAGGCGGGGACGACGUCAAGUCAUCAUGGCCCUUACGUCCAGGGCUACACACGUGCUACAAUGGUCGGUACAGAGGGUUGCCACUUAGCAAUAAGGCGCUAAUCCCAAAAAACCGAUCUCAGUUCGGAUUGGAGUCUGCAACUCGACUCCAUGAAGUUGGAUUCGCUAGUAAUCGGAUAUCAGCAAUGAUCCGGUGAAUACGUUCCCGGGCCUUGUACACACCGCCCGUCAAGCCAUGGAAGUUGGGAGAACCUGAAGUCGAUAACCGCAAGGAGUCGCCUAGGGUUAUACCAGUAACUAGGGCUAAGUCGUAACAAGGUACC
rnacentral:rRNA from 1 species